rnacentral:lncRNA from 1 species
GCAUCAGCCAUGGUACCAUCACAGCUGCUAGCGUGUGACUGAAGGCUGGGUCCCUGGCCAGCACUACUGAAGCACUACUGCCAGCCAGCAGGCUCACGGACCUUGGCCUGUUGCUCCUAGGGGUCACCUGUGCUAUUCAGCCAAGGGGACCACAGUGCCUGCUGGCCCAGCUGAGCUCCGCCUAGCAAGCCCACCUGCCUUUCCUGCCACGGAGUCUCCCUCUUCUGCUUUUCCCAGCAGGAAGGGCCCAGCCUCACCUAUGCAACCUGCAGCCCCCCGCCAACCAGUUGAGGCUCCCCUCUUAGACUUAUAAGUCUAUGGCCAGUGGCAUCUAGCUACCUGCCCUCCCUGCCUUCCCCACGGUCCCUUCAGUGGACCCUGGGCUUUCUGACUGCCCAGAGAGGGGCCUCUGGCACUCACUCCAGCCAGCCAUCCCUUAUAGCUUCACCAUUUUGGUUCAAGCAGUGUUCCUUCUGUCAGGCUUGGUGGCUGUUGGGUGGGGCUCCCCAAGCAAGAGGUGGCCCUGGGCCAGUGGGUUGGAAGAUGGGGUGACCAGAGAAGAGGGAAGCCGGUGGGGUUGAGCAUUGGUCUGAACUGUGGGUGGACUGCCUGGGUGCCAUGAGAGAGGCCAGUGUGUGUGGGGUGGGGAGGCCCCCC